GACGAACGCUGGCGGCGUGCUUAACACAUGCAAGUCGAACGCUGAAGCCCUUUCGGGGGUGGAUGAGUGGCGAACGGGUGAGUAACACGUGGGUAAUCUGCCCUGUACUUCGGGAUAAGCCUUGGAAACGGGGUCUAAUACCGGAUAGGACCUGUCCUCGCAUGGGGGUGGGUGGAAAGUUCCGGCGGUAUGGGAGGAGCCCGAGGCCUGUCAGCUUGUUGGGGGGGUAGUGGCCUACCAAGGCGACGGCGGGUGGCCGGCCUGAGAGGGGGGCCGGUCACACUGGGACUGAGACACGGCCAAGACUCCUAGGGGAGGCAGCAGUGGGGAAUCUGGCGCAAGGGGCGAAAGCCUGACGCAGCAACGCCGCGUGGGGGAUGACGGCCUUGGGGUUGUAAACCUCUUUCGACAUCGACGAAGGGGCCCUGUUGUGGGGUUUUGACGGUAGGUGUAGAAGAAGCACCGGCUAACUACGUGCCAGCCGCCGCGGUAA
rnacentral:rRNA from 1 species